AAACAUGUCUUUUCGAUUUAUAAAAAGUCAGGCCUGCACACUGAGAAAUUAAAGAGCUGCAGUAUACUAACUGUGCUAAGGUAGCAUAAUAAUUUGUUUUUUAAUUGAAAACUUGAAUGAAAGGUUCAAUGAUAAUAGACUUUCUUCUUUUAAUGGAUAAAAUUGAGUUUUAGUGAAAAUUCUAAGAUGAUUUUAAGGGACGAUAAGACCCUAUAAAAUUUAUAUUGUAUUUAACUAAGUUUGGAUUUGAUAUUUUACAAUUUAACUGGGGCGGUUUACAUAGUGCUAUAUAAAUGAGCUAUAUUUAUUUAUAACAAAAAUGGGUGGAUUAAUUGACCCUUAAGGGAUUAUUAAAUAAAAUUACUUUAGGGAUAACAGCGUUAUCUUUCUUAGAGUUCUUAUCAAAAGAAAGGUUUGCGACCUCGAUGUUGAAUUAAGGCUCCUUUUUAGUGCAGCAGC
rnacentral:rRNA from 1 species